GGAAGCCCCGUGAGGAGAACAAAUACAUUUGUCUUUACACCGCUGUGUCGCCAGGAGCUGGCACCUGGCAAACGCUGGUAUUUUCUUUUUCUUUUUUUUCUGUAAAUAAGAUUUAACAGAUAAUUUAAAAGUUUUACAUUGUUAAAUUUAAUGUAUGUCUAUAAAGCAGUAGUUAUAGAAUAAUAGAAUAGGACAUCCUCUACUCUUUUUAAAGAUGGUUACAAAGACUAAGUGAGAACUUUCCUCACCAUGGCUACUUUUUAAAAAAAAUAUAUCUUUAUUGGAGUAUAAUUGCUUUACAAUGCUGUGUUAGUUUCUGCUGUAUAACAAAGUGAAUCAGCUAUACGUAUACAUAUAUCCCCAUAUCCCCUCCCUCUUGCGUCUCCCUCCCACCCUCCCUAUCCCACCCCUCUAGAUGGUCAGAAAGCACCGAGCUGAUCUCCCUGUGCUAUGCAAAACGCUGGUAUUUUCUGAUGCAUGAAUGCAGAAGGGAAUGAAGGAAGCAAGAAGGGAUGAGAUGCAGAGACAAAGAAAGGCCUUCAUGGGUUCAAAACCUUUACCUCAAAUGUCCUGAGUCCCCUGCUCCAAUCCCGGAGCCUGUCUAAUCCAGUCCCCAGGCUCCAAGGCUACAUUCUGCCCACAGCGAUACCCACCCCCACCCCAACAACUUCCACCCUUAAUAACCCUGUUAAACCACCACCAGCUCCUCCUCACACCACUCGACCUCUCCCCAUCUCUCCCCCAGCUCACAGUCCAUAAGCCUCACCUACAAACGUCCCAGGAUGCUCUUCUCAGACACAAAUUCCAAAGACAUCCAAACAAGAAGAAGACAAAUGGUGGAAGACAGUGUAUUGAUUUGGGGGCAGCAGCUGAUAUCCUUUGGUCCCAGAUUGAUUUGGGAAGGAUCCCAAAGGAGCGCUCACGCGCCUGGCCUCGUGGGGCAGAAAGGCUGCUGGGGCUGUGCCCGUUGCACAGAGAUCCCUGCUGCUGUUGAGCAGCACGAGAUGCCUUGAGCUGCUAAGUGGGCAGCUUCAGUUUUACUUUUCCUCUCUGGAGUAAAAAGAAAAAAGAACUCUGGCCACGGGUGACAUACAAACGUCAGGCCUGAGUCUAUCUACACAUGGAAAUGACUCCCCAGGCCUCCCUUCUCCACCCCCAUCUCUGGAGAUAAACUGUAAUAAAGUAUUAACAACUGGCUCUGCUCUUCUGAUAGACAAGGGAUGACUCUCUUUUAAAGACCUUUGUGCUCUGUUGUUGCCAAAGCCAUUUAAACUGUGAUCAUUAGCAGCUCUGCCUACAGCGCAGGCCGAGGCGGAUUUCUCUGGAGAGGUUCCAUCAAUCACGUGUUCCUGGUGGGGAGCAGCUGUCUGAGGCUGGGGUGCAGGAGAGCGGGGGCGACGCUUCACUCGCCCGGCCCAGCAGGAAACUUGGUGUUGGCUUUGGGCCUCGGGUGCACCUGGCUGGGAGGUGCCUGACAGCACAGCGGCGAGGCGGGAGGCAGAUGGGGUGGAUGCCUCCCCUUCCCCAAGAAGCCCAAGGGGAAGUUGCUCUCCGGCUCUUAUUGAGACAGGCUGGGACCUGGGACCCUUUGCUGCAGUGUUUGCACCUGGACACAUUUCUCCUGGAGGAACGAAAUACACAGAAGCUCUAUGGGACUAAAAAUAACUGCGUGCAUGUGCAGUUGGGACGAAUUCUGGACCCCAAAGAUAUAAAGAGACCAAAAAACCCAACUGCCACUUUUGAAGAGCCUGGAGCAAAAACAGGGUGUUGGGAGCAAAAGCAGGGUACUGUGCAUGCCCCCUGCACUCAGCACCACCAGAGUGGUGGGUGAAACACGCAACCCCUCCAGCCUGGCACCUGGACACACCCCUACCCUCACCCCAUGUAAGGAGCAAGCUCCCCUCCCCCACCCAGGGAGGGAGCAAGGGAACCUGUUGUCUGUUCUCCCGCCACGCUGCUGUAGCAGGAGCCCCCAGUAAAGCCUUGCCUGAAUUCCUUGUGUGGCCUCUGAUCAAUUUCUGUUGAUUGGGGAAAGCCAAGAACCCUGGUCGGUAACAUUAUGAGGGAUGGCAGUGGCGCAUCUACAGAAGGAGAGAGGUGCACUGGGCCUGAAAUUUUCUGAAGCCCUUGGGGAAAGGGCUGGGAAGGGAAGGAAAGUUCAGGGACAGCUGAGUCCUGUUCUGUUCCCUUUCAAGUCUUGCAUGUUGCAGGAAGCACUUCAGAUGGUGAAAAUGGAAGGAACAGGAAGCUUGUGGAUGGGUGUGUGAAAGGGCAGGGAGACAGAGUUAGGGGGUUAGGGGGUGGGGAGACAAGGGGGAGAAGCAAGAGUGGGGAGAGGACAAGGGGGAGAGAGAACCGAGGCACAGGAGAGUCAGGGGAGGCAUGUUUUGAGGGGUGAGAGCUUAAAAACACGGAUUCAUGAAGAUCAACUAUACUACAAUAUAAAAUAAAAAUUAAAUUAAAUUUUUAAAAAAGGAUGAAUGAAGAAGAGAGGGACUGCUUCCCUUCUUUUUUCUUAUUUUCUCUUUCUUUUCUUUUUUGGCCACACCGCGCGGCACGUGGGAUCUUAGUUCCCCAACCAGGGAUCGAACCUGUGCCCCCUGCAGUGGAGGCGUGGCAUCUUAACCACUGGACCGCCAGGGCACAGCCCCUCUCAAAGAACAUGCUCUACCACAUGCCUGGCAGCCGUGGCAGCACAAUUCUCUUGUUCCUGGAGCCCAAGGAGCAAGCAAAGGACCUGGGGUAGCCAGUCUACAGGCUGCCAAAGCUCUAUGAUGGCCGGAAAAGAGCCUGUCAUCAGCUUUGCUGCACACGGCCCUGGAGGAGCUGAGCUGGCCCUUGUUUAAGGAAAGCCAGCAAAUCCACGCAGAUGUUUUUCUGAGAGCUGUUCCGACCAGGGCUCAGGGAUUUCGCCCUGCCUGGUAUCACAUAGCACGCGGGAGGAUGGGACUUCUCACUGUGGAGCAGGAAGUAUAUUACAAGAAAUCAAAAUAAGGACCCUGAUAACGUGUUUCAAGCAUGUGUCAUACCCCUAAGCCAGCACUUCUCCAGUCAGGCCUCAGGCUGAUGUGAAAGCAGCUUGUAACCAACAGGAAGGCAGAAGGUUCAGGAGGAAACCAAAGCUUCCAUCUCGAGAGACUUGAUUCAUCUGCACCCUCCACAGACUAAGCUUCAGAUGUAUCAUAUGCUGACUUCGCUACAGCUCAGGAUCAUUUUGGACAGAGGUACGAUGAGGUGAUGAGGUCCAACCAAGAGGCUACAGGACUGGGCUUCUCCCCAUCUCCAGAGUCCCACUCAGCACAGGGAUUUAUGUUGGCCUCUCCCAGAACCGUGGUAGGCUACCUAAUGUUUCAGUCAAGUGCAGCUGACUGGGGUCUUUAACUGGUGGUUGGUCAUGGCUGGACCGACCGCUGAUCCUCUGGUAUUUCCAGCAGGUGCAAAGUGGGAAUAAGCCAUCAACUCUGAAUUAAACGAGAAAAGCCCCAGAGAUGAGGCAAACGUUGCUCAAGUUUUAAAAGACAUUUAUUUUGAAGCACCUGCAGUUUGGAAUGAUUUGAAGGACUUCAGUUUCAGGCUCCUCUGCAGCCCAAGUCCAGUAGGAAUCCUGGGGACUGUGCAGCCACUUGGAAGGUGAUAGAAAUUCUAAAAAACUUAUUCUUAGGAAAGUCAUAGCCAAAAACCCCUUCCAGGCAUCUCUAGAUGUGAUUCCUCUUAAAAUCCAGGGGAGGUCCAUGACCAUCUGGCUUCCAAGAUGAAGAAAUCACAACUGUAUCUAAAAGAUACCAGGGCAGCGAGGAAAAUGUGAAAGGUCUGGUCAGUGAACCCAUUUGUUGUAUCUUUGUGACAUCAACCAGUGUUUCAUUUCCCCGGGGUAGCCCUGGUUUUGGGGAAUCAACUUCCAGCCCAGUUCUGCCACUUGCUAACAGUGAGAUUUGGGGGACACCAACCCCCCAUAUCUCUGGCUUCGGUUUACAGACCUAAAAAAUCAGUGUUGGACAGGUUGAGGUUCUUUUAGCCAUAGCAAAAUUGACUCUAUAAAAUACACCGUUUUUUCUGUUGUCAUGGAGACAGACUGGAGCUCCAGUAAGCCCACCAGCUUCCUCACAGGACUUACCUGAGGCCGGUCCCGUCUUCAGAAGCUCAGGGCAGGGAAUCUGUGUGGGACAGGAGCCUGCAGCCUGCAGGCGUCAGGGCAGCUUCACCUCGGGAGGGUCUGUCCUCCAAGCGCACACUCUUCUAAAAGGAGAGAAGUGGAUUUAGUAAACUUUGGGGAGAGGUGAGUGGCCGCGUUCUAAACACUAAAUGAACAGAGGGCUCAGGGACCAAGUUGGCCGACAAGAGUUGUUUUUAAAUCAGUAUUCUGCAAAAGGGGUACAAGAACAUUUUCCCAGGGGCUCUUCAGGCAUUGACAGUCUUGAGGAAAUUAAUUUUCAGAUGCUCGAUUUAAAUUUGUAUUUUUUUCUGCCUAAGAAUAGACCUGUACUUCACAUUUCUCAACGAUUUUUUACCCCAGCCAUCCUUCUCCCACUUUAUAAAAAAACUGCACACCCCUCACCCAUCCUGAAGCUCACAAGGGUGAAAGCCUCCAGGGCACCACACCUCUCCUUCCAGAGAGCCCCUGACAGGGACAGAGGGAAAUGUCCUUAGAAAAUACUGGAGGUAGAGGCCCCGUACUUCACCCAGGCGACAAGGUCAGAUGAAGGUCUUAUGAUUCUCUGCAAGAAUCGGGAUUCAGAAGUGAGACAGUUGUCACAGGGAUGCAAGGAAACUUAUUCGAGUUCAAAAAUGAAGUCAGGCUUUUUCUGAGAGGAAUUGGCUGAUUUGGCUGAUUGGUCUGAGGAGUCUCUGCCUCUAAGUUCUGUGCUGGAUAUUGUCCACGAGGAACUAAAUCUGCAGAUGAAAAAUUUUCACAAACAUAUAUUAAAGCACAUGAAAAAAUAAUAGCCUCCUUUUUAAAAACCGUAUUUGCAAAAAUAACGACACCAAACACGAAGAAAAGCUGUGAAAUAUGCAGAGGGACUGUCAGGUGGCAUCAGCCCCCCGGCCUCUCCAUCCCAUCACCUCUGCCAGCAGCCCAGGCCCGGUUCAGCUGUGUCCUCAGCUGGUCAGACCCCGAGGGAAUUCACUCCGUGUGGAGUCCAUUGGUAAAGCCUGUGGCAGAGGGCUGAGCCUUCCAGAAGUGGUCCACACGUGUCCAAAUAGGGGCGCACUGAAAUCAGCCUGUGCCCCACCCAGGUGGGCGACUCUGACACGCUUUCAGGUUAAACCUCCCAACGGGUUUUAAGCCUAUUUCUUCUAAGGCUAUCUGGGCUUCAGGCGUAAGGAGGAUCAGCAGGGAUCUGAAAAGGAGGUUGAGAACUUGAACAAUUGGGGAAAAAAAAUCAGUAUCCUUAUUUGCUUUGCUUUCAUUUUCAUUCAUUUUUUAUUUUAUUAAUUAAUUUUCCUUCCAAACAGAUAGCUCCUGGCUAAGAUAUCUUCACCCAAGUCACCUUGUUGGUGAUUUGGCUACACCUUAGAACCCAGGUCUUCUCCUGUGUAUUUACCAAGUGUCAGAGCCCCUGGGAAUGGGAUCAUACCAUAGAGACAUAUACUCUUAGGAUCAUUAAAAUCUGAGAGGUGAAACAUUGCUCCCUUGCCUGCUGCAGGGCCUUUGCACAUGCAGUUCGUCUGUCUGGAAUGCUCUCCUCCACCCAUGUCUCUUUCUGGCUAAUUCCUUUUUAUCUUGGAGAAUCCACAGGUCAGAUCAGGCCCCUGUAACUUGCUCUCCUAGCAGACUUGCUUCUUCUUAGCACCAAUCACAACUGUAAUUAAAUAAUUAAUUAGGUGUUUAUUCCCAGGAUCCCUCUUUGGAAUGUAAAUUCCAGGGAGACAGAGACUUUCAACUGUAUAGGCUGAACACUGUAUCGUAAGCGUGUGAUACCAUCCUGCACAUAGUAGAUGCUCAAUAAGUAUUUAUGGCAUAAAUGCAACUUACUUCCUCUCACCUCACCUUUUACAAUAUUUUCAAAAUUUUAUUCCCCCUUUCAGGCCAAGGUUAAAUGUUAUCUCCUCAGUAAAGCCUUUUGACAACGAUCCAACACGUAAAUUAACCACUCAUUCCUCUCUGUUCCCAUAGCCUGUUAUACAUAAGACACAAUAGCAUCUGACUGAACCAUAUGAAAUUGUCGGUUUUUAAUAGACCAAAGUGGUUGAAUGUCUGCAAUUUCAUGUGAUUAAAUCUAACGGUUCAUAAAAAAUCAACAAGCAAUAAAUACUGGAGAGGGUGUGGAGAAAAGGGAACCCUCUUGCACUGUUGGUGGGAAUGUAAAUUGAUACAGCCACUAUGCAGAACAGUAUGGAGGUUCCUUAAAAAACUAAAAAUAGAGCUACUAUAUGACCCAGCAAUCCCACUCCUGAGCAUAUACCCAGAGAAAACGUUAAUUCGAAAAGAUACGUGCACCCCAAUGUUCAUUGCAACACUAUUUACAAUAGCCAGGACAUGGAAGCAACCUAAAUGUCCAUCAACAGAAGAAUGGAUAAAGAAGAUGUGGUACAUAUAUACAAUGGAAUAUUACUCAGCCAUAAAAAUGAAUGAAAUUGGGUCAGCUGCAGAGACGUGGAUGGACCUAGAGACUGUCAUACAGAGUGAAUUAAGUCAGAAAGAGAAAAACAAAUAUCAUAUAUUAACACAUAUGUGGAAUCUAGAAAAAUGGUAUAGAUGAUCUUAUUUGCAAAGCAGAAAUAGAGACACAGACGUAGAGAACAAACGUAUGGACACCAAGGAGGGGAAAGGCCGGGGUGGGAUGAAUUGGGAGAUUGGGAUUGACAUACAUACACUAUUGAUACUAUCUAUAAAAUAGAUAACUAAUGAGAAUCUACUGUAUAGCACAGGGAAUUCUACUCAAUGAAAGAGGGGAUAUAUGUAUACAUAUAGCUGAUUCACUUUGCUG